rnacentral:rRNA from 1 species
GAUGAACGCUGGCGGCGUGCCUAAUACAUGCAAGUCGAGCGAACAGACGAGGAGCUUGCUCCUCUGACGUUAGCGGCGGACGGGUGAGUAACACGUGGAUAACCUACCUAUAAGACUGGGAUAACUUCGGGAAACCGGGGCUAAUACCGGAUAAUAUAUUGAACCGCAUGGUUCAAUAGUGAAAUACGGCUUUGCUGUCACUUAUAGAUGGAUCCGCGCCGCAUUAGCUAGUUGGUAAGGUAACGGCUUACCAAGGCAACGAUGCGUAGCCGACCUGAAAGGGGGAUCGGCCACACUGGAACUGAGACGCGGUCCAGACUCCUACGGGAGGCAGCAGUAGGGAACCUGCCGCAAUAGGCGAAAGCCUGACGGAGCGACGGCGCGUGAGUGAUGAAGGUCUUCGGAUCGUAAAACUCUGUUAUUAGGGAAGAACAAAUGUGUAAGUAACUAUGCACGUCUUGACGGUACCUAAUCAGAAAGCCACGGCUAACUACGUG